UGACCUGGACCGAAAUCAAGAGUGGCCUGAGCCACAUCAACAAUUUUUAAAACUAUUCGCAGCCUCCAUUGUGUGAAAGAACACGAUUUUCUGGAUUCCCUGAAGCGCCUCAGCACACUGUGCAUUGAGAGUCUGCCUGGCAACAGCCAUCUAGGUCCCAGGGAUGGUGACGGAGGGGCCUGGUGGCUACAUACCGCCUCAGCCCUAAUAGUAAAGAUUCCGCGGUGCGCCCGAGCCUUCGGGCCUGCCCUCCUACCCCUGUAAACCCUCUGGGUCUCCUCCCAUCUUUGGCCGGAGGGAACCCCUUCCCAGAUCGUGUCGGAUUGAGGGUGAAGCCCACACAGCUCGGGGCUCCCUGGGCGGAGAUGGGUCCUGGCCCUUCCAGGCCCUGACGACGCUGUGCGGCUGGAGCUCCGUCCCCCACCUGUGCCUUGAGGCCCUGCCCCACUUUGUGAUGGCUCUGAAGGGUCAAGGGCGGGACACGGGUCCACAGUGAUUUUCAAUCUGGGCCAUCACAGGGGGCCUUUUUGGGUUAACGUUUAAAAAACGUGAUCUCCUCUCUCCGUGGAGGCUGAGAAGCGUCCCAAGGAGGGUUUCUACCCCAGCGGGGCCGGCUCCUGCGCUGGCGGCCUGGAAAACACUGCUGUCCCCGGCAUCGUCCUGGUGGUUGCACGAACAGAACCUCGGCCCCAAGCAAAGGGCGGAUCACCAGGCCCAGUGACCGUCUGCGUCAGCCCCAUACCCUCUCAGGCUGCGGGAGAUCAUCCAGAAGCUUUCGGGCCUCUCAGCCCUGUGAUGCGAGAGGGCAGGACAUCUUCAAAUGUAUGGCUGAGGACAUCAAGGUCCAGAGAAAAGAGUGAUGGGCAGAAGCCAGGGCGAGAAGCCAAUGGCCUGAUUUCUGGUCCUGGGCCAUUUCUACAAUUCAGUUCUGCACCCCCCCCCCUCCCCACCACCACUCCGGCCUUGCUGAAAGUAUGUAUUCACCAAGAGGCUACUACUUGCUGACUCAUUCAUUCAUUCCUUUCAUGAACAAUUAUGGAACUCCAGGCACUGUUGUAUGUCUGGAAUGCACAGCAGUGAAAAUAAAAAUGAAACAAAACCCAAACCAGCCCUUUCUGUUCAUUAUGAUCAGGCCCUGUUAAGGGCAGUGCCGUGAUAAAGAGCUCAGAGGCUGGGGCCCGGCUGCCUGGGUCUGAGUCCCAGCUCCCCUGGUCACCAGCAGCAGCCUCUCUGGCAAGUUUUUCAAACCUUCUGCGUCUCAGUGUCUUCAUCAGUAAGUCAAGGAUAAUUAUAGUACCUCCCUGAGGGCUGUUUAGUGCGGUGGACACGAGGGUACAAGUGUAUUCUCACGAGUACCUGAGUCGUCUCUGGCACACAGCAAGCCCUCCAGAAAAGCUACUGGUGGGUCCAACCGAUCUUAUGGGGGGGUUGAAAAACCUAAAUACGUGUGAAGAUUGUAAAAUGCUUAAGAAUACA